AGAGUUUGAUCCUGGCUCAGAAUCAACGCUGGCGGCGUGCCUCAGACAUGCAAGUCGAACGCGAAAGUCCCCUUCGGGGGACAAGUAGAGUGGCGCACGGGUGAGUAACACGUAGGUAAUCUACCUUCGGGUGGGGAAUAACAAUCGGAAACGGUUGCUAAUACCGCAUAAUGCAGCGGCACCUAAUGGUGACAGUUGUUAAAGCGGGGGGUCGAAAGAUCUCGCGCCUGAAGAGGAGCCUGCGGCGGAUUAGCUAGUUGGUAGGGUAAUGGCCUACCAAGGCGACGAUCCGUAGCCGGCCUGAGAGGGCGGUCGGCCACACUGACACUGACAUACGGGUCAGACUCCUACGGGAGGCAGCAGUCGGGAAUUUUGGGCAAUGGGCGAAAGCCUGACCCAGCAACGCCGCGUGAAGGAUGAAAUCCCUCGGGAUGUAAACUUCGCAAGAACGGGAAGAAUUAGUGGAAGUUAAUACCUUCCAUGAUGACGGUACCGUUUGUAAGCUCCGGCUAACUCCGUGCCAGCCGCCGCGGUAAUAC
rnacentral:rRNA from 1 species